rnacentral:tRNA from 1 species
UCCCUGGUGGCUCAGACAGUAAAGAAUCUGCCUGCAAUGCAGGAGACCCAGGUUCAAUCCCUGGGUAGGGAA